rnacentral:lncRNA from 10 species
CCAAGUUUGAAACUGCUUUCAAAUUCUAAACCAAGAAAUUUACUUUUAAAAAAAUCCUCUUAUCAAUGACAGGAGAAAAUGCAUCAUCAUUUUAUGCUAUAUAGCCUUAUAAUAGUAUGUGGUACUUAUCUUACUCUAACAGAUGAGACAAAAACUCCAAAGCAGUGCAUUAUGUGAAACUUAGCCAUAGCUGGACUUUAUUUCCCUGACAGCUUGGGCUAAAUAAGAAGCUAUGAAGUAUACUGUGGGAGGUAUUUUCUUUUUCACUCUGUUUCAAAUAUCAGGUUAGUUCUCAAGCAGAAUAUUAAUUCUAAGCGUGCUAAUACAUAAAAGCUUGCCCACAUGAUCUGGCCCUACUCAUCUCUCUGAUCUUGGGCCCUACAAUUCUUCUCCAUUCUUCAUCCACUGUUUCCUGGUGGAGAGCCAUCAGCUUCUAUUUCCUCCCUUUGCCUAGAACUUCUCUCCCCCACCUCCACUUCCGAAUUUUUAAAAUAGUUUUGAUCCUUCGUAUCAUUAAGGUUUCAGGUUAAAUGUCACUUCCUCAGAGGAGCCUUCUCGGAUCAUCUUAUUCUAAAAGUGUCCCCUACCUUCAUGUUCCAUUCCCUUAUGCUGUUGUCUCUUUCCUUUGUAACACUUACCACUGAAAUGUCUAUUUGUUUAGUGUCGGUUUCCACAACUAGAAUGUAAACUUCAUAAAUACAGUGAUUUUUAAAACUUUGUUGGGCCAGGCGUGGUGUCUCAUGCCUAUAAUCCCAGCAAUUUGAGAGGCCGAAGUGGGAGGAUGGCUUGAGGCCAGGAGUUUGAGGCCAACCUGGGCAACUUAGUGAGACUCCAGUCUCCACAAAAAAUUUAAAAAUUAGCUGGUGGUGGUGGGGCAGACCUGUAGUCUUAGCUACUUGGGAAGCUGAGAUGGGAGUAUGGCCUGAGCCACGGAGGUCAAGGCUGCAGCAAGCUGUUAUCAUGUCACUGCAUUCCAACCUGGGUGACAGAGCAAGACUCUGUCUCAAAAAAAAAAAAAAUUAAUUAAGUUUCUUACUGCAUCUCCAGUGGCUAAAACAGUACCCGACCUGCAAUAAGUAUUUGUCAAAUAAAUAUGGAAUGCAAUUUAGCCAUGGGAACAGUAACUUGUCUUUGAGUCCUGAAAGCUUUAAGUUUUUCCCCUAAAGGUCUAGACUAAAAAAAUAUGUUCAAUUCUGAAGUAAACCUUUAAAACCAGGUCCUGUUCAAGGAUUCCAUAUUUUUAAAAACAUCUUCCUAGAUUUCUCUUUUCCCUCCUUCCAACCAGUGCCAAGGCUGAGCAUGCAAAUUGCUUUGCUGUGGGGAAAAGCAAGAGAGAUCAGAUUGUUA